GCGUUAAUCGGAAUUACUGGGCGUAAAGGGUGCGUAGGUGGUUAUGUAAGUUAUCUGUGAAAUCCCAGGGCUUAACCUUGGUGUGUCAGAUAAAACUGUGUAGCUAGAGUAUGAGAGAGGGUAGUGGAAUUUCCGGUGUAGCGGUGAAAUGCGUAGAGAUCGGAAGGAACACCAGUGGCGAAGGCGGCUACCUGGUUUAAUACUGACACUGAGGCACGAAAGCGUGGGGAGCAAACAGGAUUAGAU
rnacentral:rRNA from 1 species